rfam:Gossypium hirsutum cultivar TM-1 chromosome 11, whole genome shotgun sequence
AAACCAUGCAUCGGGCAUUUUCUCAGUAGCUCCUUCAAAUGCUCCCAUGCUUCGUAUAAUUUUUCAUCCUCUAAUUGUCUAAAUGAUAUAAUGUUUUUCCUCAACUU